ensembl:lncRNA
CCCCAUUGUCCCCAACGCCCCCAUUGUCCCCAUGUCCCUACCGGGCAGUGUGAGCAGUGACUGCAGUGGGACACACGAUGUCACCCCGCUGGCGUCGGUGACACAAUCGCUCCACAGCCCGCGGGUGUUGGUGACAGACGCCACCACCGUCACCUGCCCCCCCCCCACCCCCCAGGCGCUGUGGGGCAGAGAGGAAACCAACAGCGCCCACCCCACAGCGCCCAGGGCCACCCCCAGGGCCACCCCCCAGGUGACAGGGGGGGACAUGGGGACAACGGUGGGGACGGAGGGGCGGUAUGGGGGCAGAGGGGGAGAUUUGGGGUCAGGGGUGGGGAUGGAGGGAUAAUAUGGGGGCAGAGGGGGAGAUUGGGGGUCAGGGGUGGGGAUGGAGGGAUAAUAUGGGGGCAGAGGGGGAAAUUUGGGGUCAGGGGUCAGGAUGGAGUGACAGUAUGGAGUCAGAGGGGGAAAUUUGGGGUCAAAGGGACAAAUUUGGGGUCAGGGAUGGGGACUGAGGGACAAUAUAGGGUCAGGGAUGGCGAUGGAGGGACAGAUUUGGGGUCAAAGAGACAAAUUUGGGGUCAGGGAUGGGGACGGAGGGGCAAUAUGGGGUCAGAGGGGGAAAGUUGGGGUCACAGCUGGGGAUGGAGGGGCAAAUUUGGGGUCAAAGGGACAGAUUUGGGGUCAGGGAUGGGGACAGAGGGACAAUAUGGGGUCAGGGAUGGGGAUGGAGGGACAAUAUGGGGGCAGAGGGGGAAAUUUGGGGUCAGGGGUGGGGAUGGAGGGACAGAUUUGGGGUCAAAGGGACAAAUAUGGGGUCAGGGGUGGGGAUGGAGGGACAAUAUGGGGGCAGAGGGGGAAAUUUGGGGUCAGGAGUGGGAAUGGAGGGGCAAAAUUGGGGACAAAGGGACAAAUUUGGGGUCAGGGAUGGGGAUGGAGGGACAGUAUGGGGGCAGAGGGGGAAACUUGGGGACAGAGGGAGAAAUUUGGGGUCAAAGAGAGAAAAUUGGGGUCAGGGGUGGGGAUGGGGGGAUAAUAUGGGGACAGAGGGGGAAAUUUGGGGUCAGGAGUGGGGAAAGAGGGAGAAAUUUGGGGUCAAAGGGACAAAUGUGGGGUCAGGGAUGGGAACAAAGUUGGGGACAGAUAUGGGGUCAGGAAUGGGGUCAGGAAUGGGGUCAGGAGGACUCACGGUCCCGCAGCGGUGGUGGCACUGUGGGCUGUGGUGCCUUUAUGGGGUGGGGGUGGGGACAAAGGGGUGGGGACAAAAGGGGGGACGGCAGGGGGGGGGAUGACUAUGGGGUCUGUGGGGUGGCCAUGGGGUCUAUGGGGCGACAAUGGCCUCCAUGGGGUGACAGUGGGUUCAAUGGGGUGAUAAUAGGUUCUAUGGGGUGAUAAUGGGCUCUAUGGGGCAACAAUGGGCUCUAUGGGGUGACAGUGGGCUCUAUGGGGUAACAAUGGGCUCUAUAGGGUAACAAUGGGCUCUAUGGGGUGCUAAUAGGUUCUAUGGGGCGCUGAUAGGUUCUAUGGGGCGGCGAUGCACUCCGUGUGCUGACAAUGCCCUCCAUGGGGUCCCCCUUCCAUCCCCCCCCCCAUCCCAUCCCAUCCCAUCCCCUUCCUGUAGGGCCGCCCCUCCCUUCCUCUCCCCUCCCCCCCCCCGACGUCCCCUUCCUGUUGACGCCGCUCUGACGGUGACAGCAAAGGGACAAUGGGGACAAUGAUGGGACCCCACAGCCGCCACCACCCCCCACAUGAUGAUGUCCCCCCCCCCAUAUUGUGUGUGUCCCCAUAUUAUGUCCCCC